UAGGAGUGGUCGGGGGGCCAGGGGCCCCUCACAACCGUAAACCCCCUCCAGACGGGACCGACAGGUUGCCGGCGUCCGGCGGGCCGCGAACGUGAGCCGAAGCGAAGCGUCGAGGCCUUGCCUGCGCGGACGGGCGUUGAGAGUGAAUCGGGUCAGGCCGGAAGGAGCAGCCCUAAGCGACCAGCCUCGUGCUGUGCAGUUACAUGGCGGAGCAGAUACUUUGGAGUUCUGUUCGUAUUCCGCCUGGCAAUGGCAGCCGCUCUUA
rnacentral:SRP_RNA from 1 species